AGAGUGCGUAAUAGCUCACUGGUCGAGAGGUCCUGCGCCGAAAAUGUCCGGGGCUGAAACGCGCCACCGAAACUAAGGAAUCUGAAAAGAUUGGUAGAGGAGCAUUGCAUGCGGGAAGAAGCAGUACCGGAAGGAGCUGUGGACUGCAUGGAAGAGAGAAUGCCGGAAUGAGUAGCGAGAUAGAGGUGGGAAUCCUCUAGGCCGAAUAUCCAAGGUUUCCAGGGUAAAGCUGAUCUGCCCUGGGUAAGUCGGGGCCUAAGGCGAGGACGAGAGUCGUAGCCGAUGGACAACAGGUGGAGAUUCCUGUACUGCGGUAUGACAGAACUGUGGGGACACGUAAGGAAAGCGGAAGCCGGGAAUGGAAAGCCCGGUGCAAGCAGGGUACCAGACACUCAGGCAAAUCCGGGUGUCAAUGGGAAGCUGUGAUGCGGAGCGAAAUACAAGUAGCGAAGUCCGUGAGCCAUGCGUCAAGAAAAGCCGCUAUUGUUUAUACCGUACCCGUACCGUAAACCGACACAGGUGGAUGAGGAGAGAAUCCUAAGGCCGGCGGAAGAAGCAUUGUUAAGGAAUUCGGCAAAAUGACCCCGUAACUUCGGGAGAAGGGGUGCCUGCGAGAGCAGGCCGCAGAGAAUAGGCUCAAGCAACUGUUUAGCAAAAACACAGGUCUAUGCGAAACCGAAAGGUGAGGUAUAUGGGCUGACGCCUGCCCGGUGCUGGAAGGUUAAGAGGAGAGGUUAGCGCAAGCGAAGCUUUGAAUUUAAGCCCCAGUAAACGGCGGCCGUAACUAUAACGGUCCUAAGGUAGCGAAAUUCCUUGUCGGGUAAGUUCCGACCCGCACGAAAGGCGUAAUGAUUUGAGCGCUGUCUCGGCAAUACAUCCGGUGAAAUUGAAGUGCCAGUGAAGAUGCUGGCUACCCGCGCCAGGACGGAAAGACCCCAUGGAGCUUUACUCCAGUUUGGCACUGGGGUCCGGUGUUGCAUGUACAGGAUAGGUGGGAGGCUGAGAAACGGUAACGUCAGUUGCCGCGGAGCCGCUGUUGGGAUACCACCCUUGUGAUAUUGGGCUUCUAACCAGCCGCCGUAAUCCGGCGGUGGGACAAUGCCAGGCGGGGAGUUUGACUGGGGCGGUCGCCUCCGAAAGGGUAUCGGAGGCGCCCAAAGGUUCCCUCAGAAUGGACGGAAACCAUUCGAAGAGUGCAAAGGCAGAAGGGAGCUUGACUGCGACACCGACGGGUGGAGCAGGUACGAAAGUAGGACUUAGUGAUCCGGUGGUAUAAAGUGGGAUUGCCAUCGCUCAACGGAUAAAAGCUACCCUGGGGAUAACAGGCUUAUCACUCCCAAGAGUUCACAUCGACGGAGUGGUUUGGCACCUCGAUGUCGGCUCAUCGCAUCCUGGGGCUGUAGUAGGUCCCAAGGGUUGGGCUGUUCGCCCAUUAAAGCGGUACGCGAGCUGGGUUCAGAACGUCGUGAGACAGUUCGGUCCCUAUCCGGCGUGGGCGUAGGAUAUCUGAGAGGAGCUGUCCUUAGUACGAGAGGACCGGGAUGGACGGACCGCUGGUGGACCGGUUGGCUUGCCAAAGCCAUGGCCGGGUAGCCAAGUCCGGAAGGGAUAAACGCUGAAGGCAUCUAAGCGUGAAGCCCCCCUCAAGAUGAGAUGUCCCAUUCGAAAGAAGUAAACCCCCUUGA
rnacentral:rRNA from 1 species